UAUUGGAUCAAGGAAUAAUGCUUCUUGAAAAUGCCAAGGCACUGAGUUCCUGGUAUGCAAGCGAUUGGAACAACCGUUAGCCAUCAAGUUAUAGGAAAGUUAUGAAUUAACCGGUCAACAACUGCUGGUUCUUUCUACAGACAAAUCUCCUCCUGCUGAAAACUAUCGAAAAGCUAAUGAAGGAGCAGCUGGAUCCAUGGUGUCCUAUAACUUCAGGUAUUACUCACAUUUCUUGAUAAAUCUGUACAAAAACGGUAAUGUCCGAUUUACAAUAGUACCCUUAAAAGCCU